rnacentral:rRNA from 1 species
AUUGAACGCUGGCGGCAGGCCUAACACAUGCAAGUCGAACGGUAACAGGAAGAAGCUUGCUUCUUUGCUGACGAGUGGCGGACGGGUGAGUAAUGUCUGGGAAACUGCCUGAUGGAGGGGGAUAACUACUGGAAACGGUAGCUAAUACCGCAUAACGUCGCAAAACCAAAGAGGGGGACCUUCGGGCCUCUUGCCAUCGGAUGUGCCCAGAUGGGAUUAGCUAGUAGGUGGGGUAACGGCUCACCUAGGCGACGAUUCCUAGCUGGUCUGAGAGGAUGACCAGCCACACUGGAACUGAGACACGGUCCAGACUCCUACGGGAGGCAGCAGUGGGGAAUAUUGCACAAUGGGCGCAAGCCUGAUGCAGCCAUGCCGCGUGUAUGAAGAAGGCCUUCGGGUUGUAAAGUACUUUCAGCGGGGAGGAAGGGAGUAAAGUUAAUACCUUUGCUCAUUGACGUUACCCGCAGAAGAAGCACCGGCUAACUCCGUG